rnacentral:rRNA from 1 species
GACGUAGGGCGCGAGCGUUGUCCGGAUUUAUUGGGCGUAAAGAGCUCGUAGGCGGCUUGUUGCGUCAGCUGUGAAAACCCGCAGCUCAACUGUGGGCUUGCAGCUGAAACUGGCAGGCUUGAGUCUUGUAGAGGGGGGUAGAAUUCCAGGUGUAGCGGUGAAAUGCGUAGAGAUCUGGAGGAAUACCGGUGGCGAAGGCGGCUCACUGGACUGGUAUUGACGCUGAGGUGCGAAAGCGUGGGGAGCAAACAGG